rnacentral:rRNA from 1 species
GGCGGCGUGCCUAAUACAUGCAAGUCGAACGAACUCUGGUAUUGAUUGGUGCUUGCAUCAUGAUUUACAUUUGAGUGAGUGGCGAACUGGUGAGUAACACGUGGGAAACCUGCCCAGAAGCGGGGGAUAACACCUGGAAACAGAUGCUAAUACCGCAUAACAACUUGGACCGCAGGGUCCGAGUUUGAAAGAUGGCUUCGGCUAUCACUUUUGGAUGGUCCCGCGGCGUAUUAGCUAGAUGGUGGGGUAACGGCUCACCAUGGCAAUGAUACGUAGCCGACCUGAGAGGGUAAUCGGCCACAUUGGGACUGAGACACGGCCCAAACUCCUACGGGAGGCAGCAGUAGGGAAUCUUCCACAAUGGACGAAAGUCUGAUGGAGCAACGCCGCGUGAGUGAAGAAGGGUUUCGGCUCGUAAAACUCUGUUGUUAAAGAAGAACAUAUCUGAGAGUAACUGUUCAGGUAUUGACGGUA